UUGGUAGACUAGGCAAUCGCCGCUGCACACUGGCAACAGAUGGCGCAGGGGAGGAAAGUCCGGGCUACAUAGGGCAGCGUGCCAGCUAACGGCUGGGCAGGGUAACUUGACGACCAGUGCAGCAGAGAGUAGACCGCCCCGCGCAAGCGAGGUAAGGGUGAAAGGGUGCGGUAAGAGCGCACCGCGUGGCUGGCAACAGUUCACGGCAUGGUAAACUCCACGGGUAGCAAGACCAAAUAGGCAUCGGCAUGGCGCGGCCCGCGUUCGAUGCGGGUAGGUUGCUUGAGCGUACGAGCGAUUGUACGCCUAGAGGAAUGAUUGUCCACGACAGAACCCGGCUUAUCGGUUUACCAACUUU
rnacentral:RNase_P_RNA from 1 species